AGGGCAGGUACAAAGAGAUAGGGAGAUAAGUGGGAUUGUGGUACAUCAUGUAAAAUUCACAAAGAAUCAAUAAAAUGUUAACAAAAUUUUAAAAAUAAAAAUGUUAAAAGUGAUCAAGACAUUAACAAUAUACAUUGUGAUGGAGGACAUGUUUAUAUAUGUAUUGGGAAAAUAUUCAAUUGUGUUUUUUGUUACAGAUGUGAAUUUCUUCAAAGUAAGAAAUCCUCAGAGGAAAUUGCACAGUAUAUUCAAAGCUACAAGGGAUUUGUUCAUGUAACGGGAGAACAUUUUCUGAAGUCCUGGAUCAGAAGAGAACUACCUAUGGUAUCAGCUUACUGCAAUGACAGUGUCUUUGCUAAUGAAGAACUAAGGAUGGACACGUUUAAGGACUGGCCCCAAGAAUCACCUGUGGCUGUUGAAGCUCUGGUCAGAGCAGGCCUUUUCUAUACUGGAUGAUUGGUUUGGGAGAGCUUUCAUCAAAGCACCCCAGUGAAGAACCAAGAGUCCUGUGUGAACUGUUGCCUCCUGGAUGACUUGUCCACACAAUACAACUGGAGAUCCAAGUAGGAGAUCACUAGGUAAUCUGGAGCUGUCUUCUUGUGAUUUGGACAAUGUACGUGCUGUUGAAUUGACCUCAUUCCCUUUUCUAGGCACAAAGGACAUCGUCCGGUGUUUUUCCUGUGGAGGAUGUAUGGAGAAGUGGGAGGAAGGGGAUGACCCAAUAGAAGAUCACACCAAGUUUUUUCCCAAGUGAGCAAAAUGAUUUCUCUUGACUUUGAACAUACCUCAAGCUCCUAAGAUCCCACCUCUGCCCUACACAGGCUGGGUUAUUGUCUGUGAGUCUUUAAGUUUAUUUUAGCUGUUCACAUGGACUGGCCUUAACUCUGCUUCAUUCCACAUUCUCACCAUGUUCUCACCAUUACUUUACAGAUCACAUGUACGAAGUUGUUGAGAGCCACAGUAUGCAUGUCUCAUAUGAUACAGCACUGACAGA